rnacentral:rRNA from 1 species
GACGAACGCUGGCGGCGUGCUUAACACAUGCAAGUCGAACGAUGAAGAAGAGAAACGCGCCCUUCGGUUCAAAUUUCACUUCGGAUUAGUGGCAGACGGGUGAGUAACGCGUGAGCAACCUACCUCUUACAAAGGGAUAGCCUCGGGAAACCGUGAUUAAUACCAUAUGACACAUUCAUAAGGCAUCUUAAGAAUGUUAAAGCUACGGCGGUAAGAGAUGGGCUCGCGUCCCAUUAGCUAGUUGGUGAGGUAACGGCCCACCAAGGCGACGAUGGGUAACCGGACUGAGAGGGUGAACGGUCACAUUGGAACUGAGACACGGUCCAAACUCCUACGGGAGGCAGCAGUGGGGAAUAUUGCACAAUGGAGGGAACUCUGAUGCAGCGACGCCGCGUGAGCGAUGAAGGAAUUCGUUUCGUAAAGCUCUGUUCUAUGGGAAGAAAAGGACUGUACCAUAGGAGAAAGCCCCGGCUAAAUACGUG